GCCGGAGGCUACCGCUAUUGGAGUUCGAUUAAGCCAUGCGAGUCGCGAGUCUUAGGGACUCGGCGUACCGCUCAGUAACACGUGGGUAACCUGCCCUAUGCUGGGAGAUAACCUCGGGAAACUGAGAAUAAUACCCCAUAGUUCACUACGCCUGGAACGGUGAGUGGAUGAAAGCUCCGGCGGCAUAGGAUGGGCCUGCGGCGUAUCAGGUUGUAGGGGGUGUAACGUACCCUCUAGCCCUCUACGCGUACGGGUGUUGGGAGACAUAGCCCGGAGAUGGAUUCUGAGACACGAAUCCAGACCCUACGGGGUGCAGCAGGCGCGAAAACUUGACAAUGCGAGAAAUCGUGAUCAGGGAACUCCAAGUGGCUGGGGUAAGACCCAGUCUUUUCUUGACUCUUCAAAGGUCUUGGAAUAAGGGGUGGGUAAGGACGGUGCCAGCCGCCGCGGUAAUACCGGCGCCUCAAGUGGUAGUCGCUUUUAUUGGGCCUAAAACGUCCGUAGCCGGUCUGAUACAUUCGUGGGUAAAUCAACUAGCUCAACUAGUUGAAUUCUGCGAGGACGGUCAGACUUGGGACCGGGAGAGGUGUGGGGUACGCUCAGGGUAGGGGUAAAAUCCUGUCAUCCUAAGCGGACCACCUGUUGCGAAGGCGCCACACUAGAACGGAUCCGACGGUCAGGGACGAAGCCUAGGGGCACGAACCGGAUUAGAUACCCGGGUAGUCCUAGGUGUAAACGCUGUGGACUUGAUGUUGGGGGCGCUCCGAGCGCUUCCAGUGUCGAAGCGAAGGUGAUAAGUCCACUGCCUGGGAAGUACGGUCGCAAGGCUGAAACUUAAAGGAAUUGGCGGGGGAGCACCGCAACCUGAGGAUUGUGCGGUUUAAUUGGA
rnacentral:rRNA from 1 species